rnacentral:pre_miRNA from 1 species
CCUUCUCACCGGAGAAGGCAACUGGGCUGCCUUCUCCGGCGAGAAGGCGACCCACACAGUGGGCUGCCUUCUCGCCGGAGAAGGCAGCCCAGUUGCCUUCUCCGGUGAGAAGG